rnacentral:lncRNA from 1 species
AAGGAAAUGUACAAGAAAUUACAAGGUACUUUCCUAAUAGUGCAAUGGAAGGGACUGAUUUGUAAUAUUUUGGCUCCAGCAAUUAGGUAAUCUCUUAUUCUUAGGCUGACCAUACCGAAAAGAUUCUAUACCAAUGACAGGCUUCACAAAUGAAGUACAAAUGUUAAUUUAAAUUACAGCUUGCGUAAUGGAGUUGUAGAUAGUCAUGGACAUUUAUUUUUUGAGUGCUGCUGCUUCUCAAAGAGACGUUUAUGGACAAAGCUGUUGAGUUGGCAAGGGGCUGCAAGGUCAGUAUUCUGUUGGUAGGAUAAAAUCACUUGGACGUGCUCUCAUGCUAGUGGAAGUUCAACUACUACUCACAUUUUAAGAAUGAGUCUACUAGGUUGCAUCAAUCAAAUAUUCAAAUCAAGCUGAAAAAAACAACGAUUUUUUUCAGAAGAAAGUUGCUACAUUAAAGAUAGUGUUAGAGAAAUGAAGUUUUGAUGAUUGACUUAUGAAUGAAACAUGUUAUUCAUGUCGGUCCACACAUGUGAAGCAAGAAUAAGUGUCGAGCAAGACUGAUGAUAAAAUAAUGGUUGAAGUCAGAAGUGGAUAAGCAAGAAAGUUCAGCUAUGCCUUCAACAUUUAUCACAUGCAGAAAAGAGGUUGAAAAGAAGAUAGACACAACACUUGAAGAUUGAGCUAAUAAAGGAAUCCUACCCAGUUAAGGAGACAUAAUGCAACAAGGAGUGUAACUAACUGAUAAAGUCCUAUCGAAGAAAGAAGAUCACAUCAUUUGAAGGACUUUAUCAGAGUUGGCUUAAAUAGAAGAAACGAUUUUCAAAGAGUUUCACUCAAGCACUGAUAAGAAAAGCAUCAAUCAACAAAUUCGUUCAUUAACUGAAGAAGUCAUAAGAAGAACCUGUUCCUUUACUUAGAGAGUCGUAGACUUUAUGAAAUAGGUUGGUUCUAGAUUUGUAAUGAACUUUAAUUCUAGUCUCAGGUAAGUAUAAACUGAGUUAGGAUUAGUAUCUUCAAGUUAGAGAACUCGAAGACUUAAGAACAUUUAUCUUGGGAAGAUUUGUGUUAUUGUAGAAAUAGGAGUUAGAAGUUUAAUUUCUAGUUUACAAGUGUCUUGUAAUUUGUUGAUUGUUGAGGCUUAAGAGUUUCUAGUAAAGUUGGGGUUAAAUCCUGUAGAGGUACAGGUCGUGGUUUUUUAUACCUCUUUGAGUCGGGUGUUUUCCACAUAAAAAUACUGUCUCCUUAUUUACUUUGCAUAAGUGAACCACGUUAGUUUACUUGUUUCACUAAUAGGCAACUAAUAGAGUAAAAUCAGCAGGGCACGCACUCUAACAAGUGGUAUUAGCGCGAGGUUGUCUUAAAUAAGGUUAGCACCUAAGAAAAGAUCACUAUGAUGAAUUUCGCACCUUCUACUGGUCACAACGAAGGUCAGUCAACUACUAGACCUCUACUCUUUGACGGUUCUUACUUCAUCUGGUGGAAAGAUAUGAUGGAAAUAUUUAUUCAAGGAGAAGACUAUGAGCUGUGGGAUAGAAUCACUGAUGGUCCUACUAUUCCAAUGAAGC